AUUGAACGCUGGCGGCAUGCUUUACACAUGCAAGUCGAACGGCAGCACGGGCUUCGGCCUGGUGGCGAGUGGCGAACGGGUGAGUAAUAUAUCGGAACGUACCCAGAAGUGGGGGAUAACGUAGCGAAAGUUACGCUAAUACCGCAUACGAUCUAUGGAUGAAAGCAGGGGACCGCAAGGCCUUGUGCUCCUGGAGCGGCCGAUAUCUGAUUAGCUAGUUGGUGAGGUAAAGGCUCACCAAGGCGACGAUCAGUAGCUGGUCUGAGAGGACGACCAGCCACACUGGAACUGAGACACGGUCCAGACUCCUACGGGAGGCAGCAGUGGGGAAUUUUGGACAAUGGGCGCAAGCCUGAUCCAGCAAUGCCGCGUGAGUGAAGAAGGCCUUCGGAUUGUAAAGCUCUUUUGUCAGGGAAGAAACGGUAGAGGCUAAUAUCCUUUGCUAAUGACGGUACCUGAAGAAUAAGCACCGGCUAACUACGUG
rnacentral:rRNA from 1 species